AUCAUGGUAACUCAGCUGAACACAGAGGCUAGACCUUUGCUUACUGCGCACAAGGAAUCCCCUCACUUUGAGAUGUUGCUCCCACACUAUCGUUGUUGAGAGUCGAUCCCUGGUCUUUCUCCCAA